UAAAAAUAUAAAUUUUAUAGAUUUUUAUCGUCAUUUGAUUUAAACUUUAUUCUUCACAUCCAUUCUAAUUAUCAUCUCUCAAACAUCCAAUCAUAACCCAAAACAUUUCAAAACCCAAAAUGAUUUUGGUAAAAUCUCUUGGAGCAAAGGUAUAAAUCUAAUACCACAUACAAAUUUAUCAAUUUAUAUCGUCAAGAUAAAUCAAUCGAUUUCAGAAAAAGGGUUUAAUUACCAACAAUUCUUACGAAAACCGAAAAGGGCCACGAAUUCUUCCCAAAACUUUCACACAGACGACAGUAUCGGCGCUUAUUUACCAUAGAAGGACCAUUCCUCUUCGGUUCCCUCUCGUAAGCCCUGUUUCCGGGACGUUGCGAAAUUCAGAAACCCUUUUUCUCGGUAUUCUCUCGGAUGCCUGGGACGGCAGCCUUGCCAGGACCGUCUACCUGAUUCCCGGAUACUGUGGAAACGAAGCAAAGGAGAGUUUUGUCGAUUCUCAAUGGAUCGAGGGACUAUUAUUUCAAGAUUUACGAGGGGACAUGUGGUCUCUUCUCUGGGUUUGAUACACAGAGGCAAGUUCUGUGUACUCGGAGCAAGUCUUGGACGAGUUUUGAAAAAAAUUUGUCUACAUCUGGUCGUCGAAGCCUUUUGCUUCGAUUACAUUCUCGUGGCGUUUAACCAUAUAUCAUGAAGUGAAUAUCUUCCGAGAUGAAGUGCUCGAAUGAAAAUUGUUUCUGGAUACGCCCUCUUUCUUCAGGUAGUCAUUAGUGAGAGUUUAUCUUGUAAAAUUAUAAGCAAUAUGAUAUAUUAAUAGUUUUUCUUUUUAAA